UACAGAGGUCCCAAGCGUUGUUCGGAUUCAUUGGGCGUAAAGGGUGCGUAGGCGGCGCGGUAAGUCGGGUGUGAAAUCUCGGGGCUUAACUCCGAAACUGCAUUCGAUACUGCCGUGCUUGAGGACUGGAGAGGAGACUGGAAUUUACGGUGUAGCGGUGAAAUGCGUAGAUAUCGUAAGGAAGACCAGUGGCGAAGGCGGGUCUCUGGACCGAAACUGACGCUGAGGAGCGAAAGCGUGGGUAGCAAACAGG
rnacentral:rRNA from 1 species